UGGGGGAUAUUGCACAAUGGAGGAAACUCUGAUGCAGCGACGCCGCGUGAGGGAAGACGGUCUUCGGAUUGUAAACCUCUGUCUUUGGGGAAGAAAAUGACGGUACCCAAAGAGGAAGCUCCGGCUAACUACGUGCCAGCAGCCGCGGUAAUACGUAGGGAGCGAGCGUUGUCCGGAAUUACUGGGUGUAAAGGGAGCGUAGGCGGGCGAGAAAGUUGAAUGUUAAAUCUACCGGCUUAACUGGUAGCUGCGUUCAAAACUUCUUGUCUUGAGUGAAGUAGAGGCACGAAAGUGCGGGGAUCGAACAGG
rnacentral:rRNA from 1 species